AUCUUCUUUUGGUUCAUAAGUACAGUGAUUGGUUGUUUAUAUUAUGCGCAACAUGUGCCUCCCAUGAAUCUGUUACAACAUUGGCACUUUGCCCAUUUCACA